rnacentral:lncRNA from 1 species
CUUUGUUAAAGUAAGAGAAGGCAGAACGUGUGUCACAUGAUGCAUGAACUAGAAGCUUACAGAAAAAUUUUCACUCACACUCGGGCCAUUUCAGAUUUCAGUGUCUUCCUGCUUGCUGGCAAUGUUUCCACCUUCAGCCGGGCUGGUGCUCCACACCUUGAAUCCCAGCAUGUGAAAGGAUCUCUGUGAAUUCAAGACCAGCCUGGUCAUCGUAAUUCCAGGCGCCGGGUUAUCUCCAUUCCUUUGAUCUCUGCCUAUCCCGUGGCUCAUUUUUGCCUGAGGAGCUGAAGCCAUUCAUAGGAAGGAUCCGAGUGUCCUGCGUGUAUUUCUUGCUGGCGAGGAAUACAGAGCGGGCGCGGGACAUAUGGUGCCGAAACCCGGGAAUUGUUAACAUCUCCAGCACCUCGGAGACCCCUUGGCUACAAGGCGGAUUCAGAACUGCAGGAUGGUAAAUUCGGAGAGGAUGAAGAGAAUCCCCUGUGGAUCCCAGAAAGAUUCAACCUAAAGAGCCUCUACAGACCUUCAAAAGUCGAAACUCCACCCUCUACCCCCGGGAGUUGAGAGCCGCUAUUGUUAUCCAGAUUAACUCCUGCCCUUGGCGGAGCGAUUGUCUCUACUUAAGGGGUGGGGGUAAUUGUUCGAUGCAGCCGUUUACAGAUUGCUGUUAUUUUUGGCGGGUCUGUGAGAAAAGGGGUGGAUAUAAUUGUUUGAUGCAGCCACCUGCGAAAUGCUGUUACUUCUUUGGCUGGCAUGUAAGCUCCAGGGCUCAAACCAAGAGAUCAUCCAAGCGCUUAUAUUUUGGCUAAGCGAUAGGCCGCCGGCCAGACAGCUCUUGCACACCCGGAGCCUAGGCUCACUGCACAGGGUAGAGUGUCUGGUUUGUGCAGCCCCAAAGAGGGAUGCUGAGCAUAGGCAUCGCACAGAGUUGCCUAUUAUACAGGCUUCUCUGGGAGGUACGUUGACCUGCAUAAGGGUUACCUGCCCCAGUCCCCCUUUCCCAGAAAAACGGCAGAGGACAGGUCGGGAGUACUUCGGGUCAAACUGACAGCCUGAUGGUGACUCUCGUACACAGUCUUAAUGUUUGAUUUUGGGAAGGUCAACCCCUGCCUCUAUCCCUCAACAUAUGGGUGACCUAUUUGCUUGUAAUAAUAUAAAGCCUUUUCAUUAAUUAAUAAAAAAAGGGUGAUAUGUAGGAAGCCGGUUCCUGCAUUAUAAUGCUGCCUGAAGACACCAAGGUGUGAAUUACUUCACAGGCGCCGGGUUAUCUCCAUUCCUUUGAUCUCUGCCUAUCCCGUGGCUCAUUUUUGCCUGAGGAGCUGAAGCCAUUCAUAGGGUAAUACGUCCCAGGCGGCUGGUCAGCCUUUUAUAAGGGAUGGUUUUCUUGGUUCAAUGUCUCUGCUCAGUCUCUGCUCAGUCUAAUGCAUUAAAGCUUGUCUGCAGAAGGAUCCGAGUGUCCUGCGUGUAUUUCUUGCUGGCGAGGAAUACAGAGCGGGCGCGGGAC